UGCACCGAAUCCGUCGAAAAGAACGAGAAGAACCGGAAGAAAGAAGAAAGAAGAAAGAAGAAAGAACAGGAAAAAGAAAGGAGAAAGAAGAGAAGAGGGGAGGGAUGCCUGUGACUAAGGCUUUCCCGCAAGAACAGGAAAAAGGUCGGAGAAGUCGCUGGAAACUGGCAAAAGCUGAACCGCAGUAGCAACAGGCAGUUUCGGGGAGUAAAAUUCUUAUCGAUUUCUUCCAUUUUAUUCAAACUAAAGCUAUAAUUUUUAUUUUUCAUCCCACACGUCUUAAUGACCCUUACUAUGGUUUAGGGUAGAUGAAUGAGGCAUGAGAAAGCAGAAAAAACUAGUUUGUUUAGGAAGAAGAAGAUGUGCUAGAAAAUAGGGGAAGGAUUCUGGAGGAUUUUGAUCUAGGGUUUCCUCGCUGAAAACCCCUAGUACCUGAUUUUCACCUGUAUUGACUGACUCGAGUGAAAAAUUAACUACAAAUCAAUUUUGAGAAAGCUUAAUAAUCGGCCAGAAUUAACGCAAAAUAGGGGCAGUUUUCAAGAGGGUUUAAUUCAUGGUUUUGCUUGAUUUCUUAUUGUACUUAGCUUCAAUCAUGUCCCUAGAUCGAUGAUUCCGCGACGAAUUUAUAAGAAAUUGAAAGAAUUUGAAGUUAAAGAGUUGUUAAAUUCGGUCAUUGGGUCUUUGUGCAAUAAUUGUAACAAUUGAGGGACAUUAUGUUUCAUGCUUUUAUGAACCUUGGCAGGUAAUAAAGUGUGUGCUUGUGUAUUUACAUGUGUAGGUGUGCGGUAAAGCGUCACUAUUGCAUUUUGACUUAUGAAAAAGUACCCAUAUUUGCGUAUUGGAUAGUGUCGGAGUCGCUAGCGGAUGUUGGAUCCCUGUUGGCUAUGGCUUAGUUGUAUCUCCGCUUGCUGUUGAGAUUACUCCCGUUUGCAUUGAGAGUGGAUAUGUGAUAUGAAUAUGCACCUGCCGGCGGAGGUGACAUACCACAGUACGGCUGUGGUUAUUUGGUUACCACCCGCGAUGUGGGAUCCUGCGGUGGGGUGACAGCCUGCACACUAGCAGAGGAUGGAUGCCUGUGGUGUGGCAGUGAGCUGGGAGUGCCUCGAGCACAAAUAGACAUAGAUGGUAUUUUCCUCUCUUAAGUAUAUGGUACAUUUGUCAGUGGAGUUGUUUUCCCGCGGCAGGAUUGUGGAGGCUCUUAUUUGCCAGCAGAUGAUUUUCAUGGACUGGACAGGAGCGAGCAGGCUCAAGUUGAGACCCAUACCCCCGCCAAAGGUAGCAACCCCAUUGAUCCCUACUAAGCGGGUCUCCCUUGGCAUGUUGUAUCUUUUCUUUUGUGCACAUAUAGAGUCGCUCCAUGAUAUACAGUUACCACCUGAGUAGUCAUGAAGCAUUUUGAUGUAUGACGCGUUUCAUAUUUAUAUAUGUUUCAAUGUUCUUUUCUU